UGGGGAAUCUUGCACAAUGGAGGAAACUCUGAUGCAGCGAUGCCGCGUGAGUGAAGAAGGCCUUUGGGUUGUAAAGUUCUUUUGUAGGGGAAGAUAAUGACUGUACCCUAAGAAUAAGGUCCGGCUAACUUCGUG
rnacentral:rRNA from 1 species